rnacentral:rRNA from 1 species
UACGUAGGGUGCAAGCGUUGUCCGGAAUUAUUGGGCGUAAAGAGCUUGUAGGCGGUUUGUCGCGUCUGCUGUGAAAUUUCGGGGCUCAACCCCGAACUUGCAGUGGGUACGGGCAGACUAGAGUGCGGUAGGGGAGACUGGAAUUCCUGGUGUAGCGGUGAAAUGCGCAGAUAUCAGGAGGAACACCGGUGGCGAAGGCGGAGACCUGGGCCGAUACUGACGCUGAGGUGCGAAAGCGUGGGGAGCAAACAGG